UACGUAGGGGGCAAGCGUUGUCCGGAAUCAUUGGGCGUAAAGAGCGUGUAGGCGGCCCGAUAAGUCCGCCGUGAAAGCCCAGGGCUCAACCCUGGGAUGCCGGUGGAUACUGUCGGGCUAGAAUCCGGAAGAGGCGAGUGGAAUUCCUGGUGUAGCGGUGAAAUGCGCAGAUAUCAGGAGGAACACCGGUGGCGAAGGCGGCGUCCUGGACCAACACUGACACUGAGGAGCGAAAGCCAGGGGAGCAAACGGG
rnacentral:rRNA from 1 species